UUGUUCCUUCCUCCUUCAGAUAGAAAGAAGGCAGUGCGAAAGAUAACUUGCAGUUCAGAGAUAAAAGUCCAUUUGGCUCCAACAACAGAAAUACUAAAAGGGGCCGCCAAACAAAAUAGAUCUUGAGGAGUGAAGCAGUGGAUUAUCAGUAUUUAAAGCUGCGUUGGAUUCCAGGAGCAGCUGAAACACGAACGCACUGAUCGAUUAGUCAUCAUGCACUGGAACAUGUACGCCGCCGUUUCAUCGCAACGGAGCGGAAGCUGUGUGGUACCUGGUGUGCGUUGCUGAGCUUUGGUCGCGAAACUGUUGAUGCAGAAGAAGAGACAUCAUGGGACUGGGUAACAGCGGGUGUGCCUGGAGAUGAAACACCUGCGAGGAGACGACAAGGUGAUGCAUCAUACAACACCAAACACAUGGCAUCGUUUCAAAAGC